ACUAUUUACGGAGGAGUGUCACUAUUAAUUCUCCGCUUUGGGAUUCCAGAGACGUUGCCUUCGCGAAAAAAGCCAGUCGCGGAGGUAGAACCAAAUGUUGAAUUGAGCCGCACACUCAGCUGGGUGUCUUCUCGCCAGGUUGCGCAGAGAACGGCCAAAUGGUUGAAAAUUUUGAAGGCCACUUUCUGCCAGCCGCCGUACAACUUUUCUCUGUACUUAUCGUCGGAUUGCUAUAUACCCCUCAUUCGGUGGGUUAUAUAGUCUCCAGUGUCCUCCAUGGCAUGCGGAUGGACUCCAUAAUGCAGCGCGAAGCGAAGAAAGCAAAUAGAGU
rnacentral:sRNA from 1 species